rnacentral:lncRNA from 1 species
AGUAUUGAAAAAUGUGUCCUAAAGUUAAUCGUUUGGAUGAUUGUGCUCAUUUUAUAAUAUGUAUAUGAAUUAUUAAUCAAUGAAUAAAAAUUAUUUUGGUAUCGUUCAUCAUAAAGUUAUACUUCCUUGUUAGAACUCUUGUAUUGUGAUGAAGUCCUUAAAACUAUAAAGUAAUCAAUAAAAGAGGAUUUAUUGUAUAGUUCUUAAAUAUAUUCAUGAUCAAAUGAUACAUUAUUAAAGGA